CCUCGACCAAGGUGCAGGACAAGUCCAUGGAGCUCCCACUGCCCUUCCUGCCCUGGCUCUGCAGGGCCAACACUGAUCUGCUGCCUGUCACGAUGGUUAGAGAAAAAUGAGGAAGUUCUGUACUGAUCUCACACAGCCAGCCCUUGCUAGAUCCCUGUUUACAUUUACUAUGCAGACAACUGGGCCACCCAUGGAGGUGAGUUUUAUUUCCUUUUCUCCACUCCCUCUGCCUCCCAUUCUCCUUCCUGUUUGACUGUAUGCAUGCUUCACACCUGCCCAUGGCAGGCAGCGGCUCCUGACAGAAUGCUCCGGCCACUUCUCCUCUGAGUGAAUCACUUUAUCAAGUUAGAGUCUUUCCUUACUCUUCAGUAUUGCAGUCUAUUGCCAGUUUACCAAUUUCCUUAUUAUAGUAGCGUCCCAACUUACAAACAUUCAAGUUGUGAACUUUCACAGAUACGAACGGACCGCGGAUUAGGAACACUGGCAGAUGUGAACAAAUCGUGGAAGUGCUGUACCACCAUUCUAAGGUGACUGUAAAAGUAAAAAUAGUUUUUUCAGAGUAUUUGUGUGUGUUUAGAUUUCUAUGCUUUACACUGUACGUUUGUGUCAAAGGUGUACAAGACUCACUUUAUCUAUCAAAUGCUUUUUCUGAAUCUUAUGAAUUGAUUAAAUGGCCCUUCCUGAACAUAUUAAUGUACCAAAUAAUGUGGGUGUGCUUUCCGAUACUACACACCUCACUCUGGACACAGACCAGCCUGGUCAUGUACACUGCUUCUGAAAACACACCACUGGAUUUGCUACAAGAAUCCUUUCUUUAGGGUUUUUGCACCUAAUAUUCAUGAGAGACAAUCUGCUAGUUUUUCCUUUUCUCUGGUGCUCUGUGGCAGACCUGGGUAUGGCAACAGUACUGGUCCUGUACAGUGAAGUGGGGCAUUCCCUUUGCCAGUGCUGUCGCCCUUGGGUUGAAGUUCCCUUCCACUCUCGGACAGGCAGGAAAACACCUUUGUGACGUGGCAGUAUGCAGCUUCCCGUGGAGAGGACUCAUGGCUACUACUCGAUGGCUCUAGCAGUUUCCCACCACUCAGCCUUGUUAUUUUCCCUUGGGUUGAUUUAUUUUGUACAUGAUUCCACUUCUGUUUUAAAAUCAACUGCAGUGAAGCUAUUUCCAGUGUUCUUACUUUAAUGGCUGUAGUAUAUGUAUUUAUUUCUUCCUUAUGACUUAUGUGUGUACAAAAUUAAAGAAUCUCUUUAAUAUGGAAUUUUUCAAACAUGAAAGUAAAAACUUUAAUUUCUUUUUUCUUUUUAGGUUCUGGGGAUCAAACUCAGGACCUUGCACUUGCAAGGCAGGCACGGUGCCACUGAGCUAAAUUCUCGGCCCACUAUAAUUUCUUAUUUUGAGAGAGGGUCUCACUAAGUUGUGAAAUUGCUCAGGCUGGGCUCGAACUUGCCAUCCUCCUGCCUCAGCCUCCUGGAGAACUGGGAUGUCUGCUGCUUUGGGAGCACUGAGGAGAGGUGGUUCUUAUAGAACUCUCCUGCUUGUUUUAGGAUUUUAAAAUACUCCUACCUGCCAGGCGUGGUGGUGCAUAUCUGUAAUCCCAGCACUCAGGAGGCUGAGGCUGAGGCAGAAGGAUCAUCUGAGUUUCAGGCCAGCCUGGGCUACACAGCGAGACCCUGUCUC
ensembl:lncRNA